rnacentral:lncRNA from 1 species
CGUAUAUAUGUGGUGUGUGUGUGGUGUUUGUGUGGUAUGUGUAGGAUAUUUGUGCAUUGUGUGUGUGGUGUAUGGUAAGUGUGGUGUUUGCGUGGCAUGUGUAUGUGUUGUGUGUGGUGCAUAUAUGUGUGUUGAGUGUGUGUGUAUGUGUUGUUUGUGUGGAGAGUGUGUUGCCUGUGUUGUAUGUGUGUAUACAUGGUAUAUGUGUGGUGUUUGUGUGGUACGUAUAGGGUGUUUGUGUGUGCAUUGUGUAGUGUGCAUGGUGUGUGUGCAGUGUGUGUGGCAUGUGUAUGUAUGUUGUGUGUCUUGAGGGUGUGUAUGUGUGUGUGUGGAGAGUGUGUUGUGUGUGUGGUGUGUGUUGAGUGUGUGUCUAUGUGUGUAGACACCAGCCGGACUUUCUGCCCUGGCCCAUUCACGUGCUGGAAGGAGUUUCAGGAGAAGGAGGUUUACACAAGGCGUGGAGAAGCAGAGGGACCUUGCUCCUUGAAUCGCUCGGUUGCAUCGCCAAAGAUGAGUUUGUUGUUCUUGGGUCUUUCGCUGCUUUCUCUUCUCUCAAUGAUAUGUGAAAAUAACCCAUAAAAAUACAGAGGUAAGUUCAUGUAUUAAUUCUUUUUUUUUUUUUUUUUUUUUUUGGUCUUUUUGCUAUUUCUUGGGCCGCUCCCGCGGCAUAUGGAGGUUCCUAGGCUAGGGGUCUAAUCGGAGCUGUAGCUGCCGGCCUACGCC